GAUUUCAGACUCUGCUUUUUCUACAGACUAUUCUGAAAACAAUGUCUCAAAGUAGGAUGUAGAUUGCGUUUGAUAUGGAUUGUCCUGCUUGUGUACUGUUUCAGAGGAUCCAAUCCCGCACACACAGCUGAGUGAUAUCCAACAUUUUAACAUCAUACAUCAUGAUGGCACCCAGGUUAUGACUUGAUUGAAAUUAAGUGGAUGCAAUGAAGGAAAAGAUUGUUUGGCACGAGGACACAGCAUUCCGGAGAUCUGCUGAGGGCUGGAAGUCAUUUCUGAAAUACUUGUUAUUUGACAUGGGGAUUCGGCAUUUCGUAGAUCCGCCGAGGGCCAGAAGUUACUCUCGCAAUGCUUAGGAUCCGAUCCUGCACACACAGCUGAAUGAUAUCCAACAUUUUAACAUAAUACAUCAUGAUGGCACCCAGGUGGAGCUGUAUAGUAGCAUGGCAUCACCAUGGAGCUAAGGAACGCUGCCUCCACCUCAGCAGAGGCACUUCUUCUGAGCAUGGACAUGGCGUACUCCAUCACCAUGGCGUC